GAAUAUUGCACAAUGGAGGGAACUCUGAUGCAGCGACGCCGCGUGAGCGAUGAAGGCCUUCGGGUCGUAAAGCUCUGUCCUAUGGGACGAUAAUGACGGUACCAUAGGAGGAAGCCCCGGCCAACUACGUGCCCGCAGCCGCGGUAAUACGUAGGGGGCGAGCGUUGUCCGGAAUUACUGGGCGUAAAGGGUACGCAGGCGGUCAUGUAAGUCAGAUGUGAAAUCCUAAGGCUUAACCUUAGUAAGCAUUUGAAACUGCGUGGCUUGAGUUAAGGAGAGGAAAGUGGAAUUCCUGGUGUAGCGGUGAAAUGCGUAGAUAUCAGGAGGAAUAUCAGUGGCGAAGGCGACUUUCUGGCCUUAAACUGACGCUGAGGUACGAAAGCGUGGGGAGCAAAC
rnacentral:rRNA from 1 species